rnacentral:rRNA from 1 species
AUCUGCGAUAAGCGCCGGUAAGGUGAUAUGAACCGUUAUAACCGGCGAUACCCGAAUGGGGAAACCCAGUGUGUUUCGACACACUAUCAUUAACUGAAUCCAUAGGUUAAUGAGGCGAACCGGGGGAACUGAAACAUCUAAGUACCCCGAGGAAAAGAAAUCAACCGAGAUUCCCCCAGUAGCGGCGAGCGAACGGGGAGGAGCCCAGAGCCUGAAUCAGCAUGUGUGUUAGUGGAAGCGUCUGGAAAGGCGCGCGAUACAGGGUGACAGCCCCGUACACAAAAGCGCAUGUGCUGUGAGCUCGAUGAGUAGGGCGGGACACGUGGUAUCCUGUCUGAAUAUGGGGGGACCAUCCUCCAAGGCUAAAUACUCCUGACUGACCGAUAGUGAACCAGUACCGUGAGGGAAAGGCGAAAAGAACCCCGGCGAGGGGAGUGAAAAAGAACCUGAAACCGUGUACGUACAAGCAGUGGGAGCACCCUUUGGGGUGUGACUGCGUACCUUUUGUAUAAUGGGUCAGCGACUUAUAUUCUGUAGCAAGGUUAACCGUAUAGGGGAGCCGGAGGGAAACCGAGUCUUAACCGGGCGUUAAGUUGCAGGGUAUAGACCCGAAACCCGGUGAUCUAGCCAUGGGCAGGUUGAAGGUUGGGUAACACUAACUGGAGGACCGAACCGACUAAUGUUGAAAAAUUAGCGGAUGACCUGUGGCUGGGGGUGAAAGGCCAAUCAAACCGGGAGAUAGCUGGUUCUCCCCGAAAGCUAUUUAGGUAGCGCCUCGUGAAUUCAUCUCCGGGGGUAGAGCACUGUUUCGGCUAGGGGGCCAUCCCGGCUUACCAACCCGAUGCAAACUGCGAAUACCGGAGAAUGUUAUCACGGGAGACACACGGCGGGUGCUAACGUCCGUCGUGAAGAGGGAAACAACCCAGACCGCCAGCUAAGGUCCCAAAGUCAUGGUUAAGUGGGAAACGAUGUGGGAAGGCCCAGACAGCCAGGAUGUUGGCUUAGAAGCAGCCAUCAUUUAAAGAAAGCGUAAUAGCUCACUGGUCGAGUCGGCCUGCGCGGAAGAUGUAACGGGGCUAAACCAUGCACCGAAGCUGCGGCAGCGACACUCAGGUGUUGUUGGGUAGGGGAGCGUUCUGUAAGCCUGCGAAGGUGUGUCGUGAGGCAUGCUGGAGGUAUCAGAAGUGCGAAUGCUGACAUAAGUAACGAUAAAGCGGGUGAAAAGCCCGCUCGCCGGAAGACCAAGGGUUCCUGUCCAACGUUAAUCGGGGCAGGGUGAGUCGACCCCUAAGGCGAGGCCGAAAGGCGUAGUCGAUGGGAAACGGGUUAAUAUUCCCGUACUUGGUGUUACUGCGAAGGGGGGACGGAGAAGGCUAUGUUGGCCGGGCGACGGUUGUCCCGGUUUAAGCGUGUAGGUGUGUGUUCCAGGUAAAUCCGGUUCACUUUAACACUGAGGCGUGAUGACGAGGCACUACGGUGCUGAAGCAACAAAUGCCCUGCUUCCAGGAAAAGCCUCUAAGCAUCAGGUAACAUCAAAUCGUACCCCAAACCGACACAGGUGGUCAGGUAGAGAAUACCAAGGCGCUUGAGAGAACUCGGGUGAAGGAACUAGGCAAAAUGGUGCCGUAACUUCGGGAGAAGGCACGCUGACACGUAGGUGAAGUGAUUUACUCACGGAGCUGAAGUCAGUCGAAGAUACCAGCUGGCUGCAACUGUUUAUUAAAAACACAGCACUGUGCAAACACGAAAGUGGACGUAUACGGUGUGACGCCUGCCCGGUGCCGGAAGGUUAAUUGAUGGGGUCAGCGCAAGCGAAGCUCCUGAUCGAAGCCCCGGUAAACGGCGGCCGUAACUAUAACGGUCCUAAGGUAGCGAAAUUCCUUGUCGGGUAAGUUCCGACCUGCACGAAUGGCGUAAUGAUGGCCAGGCUGUCUCCACCCGAGACUCAGUGAAAUUGAACUCGCUGUGAAGAUGCAGUGUACCCGCGGCAAGACGGAAAGACCCCGUGAACCUUUACUAUAGCUUGACACUGAACAUUGAGCCUUGAUGUGUAGGAUAGGUGGGAGGCUUUGAAGUGUGGACGCCAGUCUGCAUGGAGCCGACCUUGAAAUACCACCCUUUAAUGUUUGAUGUUCUAACGUGGACCCGUAAUCCGGGUUGCGGACAGUGUCUGGUGGGUAGUUUGACUGGGGCGGUCUCCUCCUAAAGAGUAACGGAGGAGCACGAAGGUUGGCUAAUCCUGGUCGGACAUCAGGAGGUUAGUGCAAUGGCAUAAGCCAGCUUGACUGCGAGCGUGACGGCGCGAGCAGGUGCGAAAGCAGGUCAUAGUGAUCCGGUGGUUCUGAAUGGAAGGGCCAUCGCUCAACGGAUAAAAGGUACUCCGGGGAUAACAGGCUGAUACCGCCCAAGAGUUCAUAUCGACGGCGGUGUUUGGCACCUCGAUGUCGGCUCAUCACAUCCUGGGGCUGAAGUAGGUCCCAAGGGUAUGGCUGUUCGCCAUUUAAAGUGGUACGCGAGCUGGGUUUAGAACGUCGUGAGACAGUUCGGUCCCUAUCUGCCGUGGGCGCUGGAGAACUGAGGGGGGCUGCUCCUAGUACGAGAGGACCGGAGUGGACGCAUCACUGGUGUUCGGGUUGUCAUGCCAAUGGCACUGCCCGGUAGCUAAAUGCGGAAGAGAUAAGUGCUGAAAGCAUCUAAGCACGAAACUUGCCCCGA